rnacentral:lncRNA from 1 species
UGCCACUCCGUGUGCCGGCGGCCGUGCGUGUACGCCAGCUGCGCUUCGCUUACUUUUAGAAAAGGCAUUGAGAGACUGGCGAUAAAAAGUAAAUCGGAUAACUCGGGAGGCGUGCAAGAGGACCGAUGGGGGGGGCCAUUCGAGAGAAAGUGCUUCACACUUUAAUGGCCGGCCGGGAUUCCCUUUUAUUGGUCGGCCCCGCGCGAUUAUUUUAUUAUGACGGGUCGGGCACCGCGGUUUUCGGACCCUUCGCGCUCAAUGGGAGGGCUCGCGCGGGCGCGCGCCUUCCGAGUUUCCGAGCGGCCUUCCGCCGUCUAUAGUUUUCACGGCGACGUCUCUUGUACCAUUGUUUUAGUAUUACGCGGUCUCCUUGUGUUGCUUUAGGCGUAAUUCUUAGCUCUCCCUCGCAUUCGCGACUGCAGUGCGAUGGCCGAUUUUCCGUCACGUUUCGCAGCCAGUGGACGCCUCCAUGGGACGUUUGCGCGGACGGCCAGUGCAGUGGCUGCA